rnacentral:lncRNA from 1 species
UCAGUCAAAUUGAAGCUUCACCCAAGUUUCUGAACCAUCUACCCUUGGUAGCUAGAAGCCAGUAGGGUGAGGGUUUGUGGUAUCUAUCUAGACUCGAAAUCUAAGAAAACAUCUAGCCUCGUUUAGGUUUUCAUACUCAAUCAUAUCUCCAAUCUUAUCCCCUAUCCUAAACAUGUUGUCCUCAUAGCACAGAUUGAGGGGUAUCCCUCUCACUCAC